AGAGGACAUUUGGAAGAAGCACUGCUGGUUUGGAGCUCCAUGGAAGAAGAAAAGAAUUAAAGAAAAAUUCAUACCGGAGAAGCUAUCCCUUUGGGCUGUAAGGACUGGAGGACUGUGGACAGCAGAUGUGCUGGGAAGACCAUCAACUCACCAGGGGACGCCCUGGGGAGUGGGGAGAGCCAAAGACAUCUGGCAGUCUCCAGAGAUCAGUCAGAGGGACCAAGUUUUGUUUAUGAAAUGGAAGCUUACACUUCUAAUUCUUUUGCCUGCUCGUGGAGGACGAGUCAUGGCCAUUUGUUGAGACACUGCUGAAAAGAAGUAACAGGCAAAAGUACAGUUGAACUGCAAGCUGCAGAAACAUGGCAAACACAAAGUGAGAGAGUACAAUUUUGCCAUCUGUACUCUGCCAGUCCUGUUUCUUAUGGACAGGGCACAUACCAGGUUUGUAGGAAGAGGCCUACAGAAAUUGUAUUCUAGGUUCCUGCUCACCAUCCCAUGCUUGGCUCGAAGCACUCAGCUCUUUACCCAAUUUUCUGGUGAGUUUGCUCCAAUAUUGAGUCCACAAGUAUAGACACACUGGAAAGAGGCCUCCUAAGUAUGUCCAGAUUUUACAUGGGUGUCCUUGGUGGUUGUACUGGACAUUUUCUAA
ensembl:antisense